GGCCCUGUGGUCUAGUGGUAUAGGACGCUGGCCUUUCAAGCCGGAGAUCGCGGGUUCGAAACCCGUCGGGGCUACCA
rnacentral:tRNA from 1 species